GACGAACGCUGGCGGCGUGCCUAAUACAUGCAAGUCGAACGAGAGCGACCGGUGCUUGCACUGGUCAAUCUAGUGGCGAACGGGUGAGUAACACGUGGGUAGCCUGCCCAUCAGAGGGGGAUAACAUCCGGAAACGGAUGCUAAAACCGCAUAGGUCUUCGAACCGCAUGGUUUGAAGAGGAAAAGAGGCGCAAGCUUCUGCUGAUGGAUGGACCCGCGGUGCAUUAGCUAGUUGGUGAGGUAACGGCUCACCAAGGCCGUGAUGCAUAGCCGACCUGAGAGGGUGAUCGGCCACAUUGGGACUGAGACACGGCCCAAACUCCUACGGGAGGCAGCAGUAGGGAAUCUUCCGCAAUGGACGCAGGUCUGACGGAGCAACGCCGCGUGAGUGAAGAAGGUUUUCGGAUCGUAAAACUCUGUUGUUAGAGAAGAACAAGUGCUAGAGUAACUGUUAGCGCCUUGACGGUAUCUAACCAGAAAGCCACGGCUAACUACGUG
rnacentral:rRNA from 1 species